rnacentral:rRNA from 1 species
GUGGGGGAUAUUGCGCAAUGGGGGGAACCCUGACGCAGCAACGCCGCGUGAAGGAAGAAGGUCUUCGGAUUGUAAACUUCUUUAAGUGUGGAAGAUAAUGACGGUACACACAGAAUAAGCCACGGCUAACUACGUGCCAGCAGCCGCGGUAAUACGUAGGUGGCAAGCGUUGUCCGGAUUUACUGGGUGUAAAGGGCGUGUAGGCGGGUAUACAAGUCAGAUGUGAAAUACCGGGGCUCAACUCCGGGGCUGCAUUUGAAACUGUAUGUCUUGAGUGCCGGAGAGGAAAGCGGAAUUCCUAGUGUAGCGGUGAAAUGCGUAGAUAUUAGGAGGAACACCAGUGGCGAAGGCGGCUUUCUGGACGGUAACUGACGCUGAGGCGCGAAAGCGUGGGGAGCAAACAGGA